AUCCUGGCUCAGGAUGAACGCUGGCGGCGUGCCUAAUACAUGCAAGUCGAGCGAACGGACGAGAAGCUUGCUUCUCUGAUGUUAGCGGCGGACGGGUGAGUAACACGUGGAUAACCUACCUAUAAGACUGGGAUAACUUCGGGAAACCGGAGCUAAUACCGGAUAAUAUUUUGAACCGCAUGGUUCAAAAGUGAAAGACGGUCUUGCUGUCACUUAUAGAUGGAUCCGCGCUGCAUUAGCUAGUUGGUAAGGUAACGGCUUACCAAGGCAACGAUGCAUAGCCGACCUGAGAGGGUGAUCGGCCACACUGGAACUGAGACACGGUCCAGACUCCUACGGGAGGCAGCAGUAGGGAAUCUUCCGCAAUGGGCGAAAGCCUGACGGAGCAACGCCGCGUGAGUGAUGAAGGUCUUCGGAUCGUAAAACUCUGUUAUUAGGGAAGAACAUAUGUGUAAGUAACUGUGCACAUCUUGACGGUACCUAAUCAGAAAGCCACGGCUAACUACGUGCCAGCAGCCGCGGUAAUACGUAGGUGGCAAGCGUUAUCCGGAAUUAUUGGGCGUAAAGCGCGCGUAGGCGGUUUUUUAAGUCUGAUGUGAAAGCCCACGGCUCAACCGUGGAGGGUCAUUGGAAACUGGAAAACUUGAGUGCAGAAGAGGAAAGUGGAAUUCCAUGUGUAGCGGUGAAAUGCGCAGAGAUAUGGAGGAACACCAGUGGCGAAGGCGACUUUCUGGUCUGUAACUGACGCUGAUGUGCGAAAGCGUGGGGAUCAAACAGGAUUAGAUACCCUGGUAGUCCACGCCGUAAACGA
rnacentral:rRNA from 1 species